rnacentral:rRNA from 1 species
AGUGAACGCUGGCGGUAGGCCUAACACAUGCAAGUCGAACGGCAGCACAGUAAGAGCUUGCUCUUACGGGUGGCGAGUGGCGGACGGGUGAGGAAUACAUCGGACUCUGCUUUUUCGUGGGGGUUAACGUAGGGAAACUUACGCUAAUACCGCAUACGACCUACGGGUGAAAGCAGGGGAUCUUCGGACCUUGCGCGAUUGAAUGAGCCGAUGUCGGAUUAGCUAGUUGGCGGGGUAAAGGCCCACCAAGGCGACGAUCCGUAGCUGGUCUGAGAGGAUGAUCAGCCACACUGGAACUGAGACACGGUCCAGACUCCUACGGGAGGCAGCAGUGGGGAAUAUUGGACAAUGGGCGCAAGCCUGAUCCAGCCAUACCGCGUGGGUGAAGAAGGCCUUCGGGUUGUAAAGCCCUUUUGUUGGGAAAGAAAAGCAGCAGGUUAAUACCCCGCUGUUCUGACGGUACCCAAAGAAUAAGCACCGGCUAACUUCGUG